rnacentral:rRNA from 1 species
GGAGACGAAGAGGAUAGGAGGAAAACCCACUGGUUAGCUUGGGACAAACUUACAAAACCAAAAGGACAGGGAGGCAUGGGGUUCCGUGACCUAAGAUUAUUUAACCAAGCGUUGUUAGCUAAACAGGCCUGGCGUUUAUUGGUUUACCCAGAGUCGUUGUGUGCUAAGAUUUUGAAGGCAAAGUAUUAUCCCAAUGAUCACAUCUUGGAUACAGUUUUCCCGCAAGCCACAUCCGUGAAUUGGCAAGGUAUCAUGCAUGGUCUGGAACUGUUAAAACAAGGGGUCAUAUGGGGAGUGGUCGAUGGUAAAAAUGUUAACAUUUGGAGAGAUAACUGGCUCGCUAGAAUUUCGGGACUAAAAAUUACAGCUAAAAAGCAUCGAACUAGACUGAAGUGGGUGUCAGAAUUAUUCAUGAGCGGGACGAGAAGAUGGGAUGAAAAUUUGAUUAGGCAUUCAUUCUUUCAUCAUGAUGCCGAAGAGAUCCUAAACAUACGCAUUCAGUCUGUGGGAGAAGGUGAUCUAGUUGCUUGGCACUACGAGAAAAGUGGUAUGUUCUCUGUGAAAAGUGCGUACAGACUGACUUUAAAUCUCAAGGACAACAGGGGUGAGACAGGAAUAUCCAGUGCUGCUGUUAAUGAGGAAAGA